rnacentral:sRNA from 1 species
AAGGCUCUUCGAUCAAGAACAUAACUAGGAAUCAUUCGAGGUGAUUCAAGGACUUUGACUACAUCAUUUCAUUCUCUUAUGGCCUACAAGGUUUCUGCUGAGAAAUCCACUGAUAUUCUAAUGGAUAUUCCUUUGGACACCAAUGAGUUGUGUCUUCCCUCUGUCCACUCUCAGCACCUUCACUCUGAAGAUCUGUUAAAAGCACACGAGUCGUCUCAGUCCCUCAGUGGGAGCUGUUUCACCUGGCGUCAUCUAGUCAGCCAUCUUCAAUAAUAACUGUUAAAUGAACAUUUAUAUCCACUGAAACCACUAAGUGAAAUAAAGAUGUGUUUAGGCAAA